UACGUAGGGUGCGAGCGUUGUCCGGAAUUAUUGGGCGUAAAGAGCUCGUAGGCGGCUUGUCGCGUCGUCCGUGAAAACCAGGGGCUCAACCCCUGGCUUGCGGUCGAUACGGGCAGGCUAGAGUUCGGUAGGGGAGACUGGAAUUCAUGGUGUAGCGGUGAAAUGCGCAGAUAUCAGGAGGAACACCGGUGGCGAAGGCGGAUCUCUGGGCCUUACCUGACGCUCAGGUGCGAAAGCUAGGGGAGCGAACAGG
rnacentral:rRNA from 1 species